rnacentral:rRNA from 1 species
AGAGUUUGAUCAUGGCUCAGGACGAACGCUGGCGGCGCGCCUAACACAUGCAAGUCGAACGAGAGAUGAAGAGCUUGCUCUUCAAAUCGAGUGGCGAACGGGUGAGUAACGCGUGAGGAACCUGCCUCAAAGAGGGGGACAACAGUUGGAAACGACUGCUAAUACCGCAUAAGCCCACGGCUCGGCAUCGAGCAGAGGGAAAGGGAGCAAUCCGCUUUGAGAUGGCCUCGCGUCCGAUUAGCUAGUUGGUGAGGUAACGGCCCACCAAGGCGACGAUCGGUAGCCGGACUGAGAGGUUGAACGGCCACAUUGGGACUGAGACACGGCCCAGACUCCUACGGGAGGCAGCAGUGGGGAAUAUUGCACAAUGGGGGAAGCCCUGAUGCAGCGACGCCGCGUGGAGGAAGAAGGUCUUCGGAUUGUAAACUCCUGUUGUUGAGGAAGAUAAUGACGGUACUCAACAAGGAAGUGACGGCUAACUACGUGCCAGCAGCCGCGGUAAAACGUAGGUCACAAGCGUUGUCCGGAAUUACUGGGUGUAAAGGGAGCGCAGGCGGGAGAACAAGUUGGAAGUGAAAUCCAUGGGCUCAACCCAUGAACUGCUUUCAAAACUGUUUUUCUUGAGUAGUGCAGAGGUAGGCGGAAUUCCCGGUGUAGCGGUGGAAUGCGUAGAUAUCGGGAGGAACACCAGUGGCGAAGGCGGCCUACUGGGCACCAACUGACGCUGAGGCUCGAAAGUGUGGGUAGCAAACAGGAUUAGAUACCCUGGUAGUCCACACCGUAAACGAUGAUUACUAGGUGUUGGAGGAUUGACCCCUUCAGUGCCGCAGUUAACACAAUAAGUAAUCCACCUGGGGAGUACGACCGCAAGGUUGAAACUCAAAGGAAUUGACGGGGGCCCGCACAAGCAGUGGAGUAUGUGGUUUAAUUCGACGCAACGCGAAGAACCUUACCAGGUCUUGACAUCGUAUGCAUAGUGUAGAGAUACACGAAGUCCUUCGGGACAUACAGACAGGUGGUGCAUGGUUGUCGUCAGCUCGUGUCGUGAGAUGUUGGGUUAAGUCCCGCAACGAGCGCAACCCUUGUAUUUAGUUGCUACGCAAGAGCACUCUAGAUAGACUGCCGUGGACAACACGGAGGACGGUGGGGAUGACGUCAAAUCAUCAUGCCCCUUAUGACCUGGGCUACACACGUACUACAAUGGCAAUAGAACAGAGGGAAGCGACUCAGCGAUGAGAAGCAGAUCCCGAAAAAUUGUCUCAGUUCGGAUUGCAGGCUGCAACCCGCCUGCAUGAAGUCGGAAUUGCUAGUAAUCGCGGAUCAGCGUGCCGCGGUGAAUACGUUCCCGGGCCUUGUACACACCGCCCGUCACACCAUGGGAGUCGGUAACACCCGAAGCCCGUAGCCUAACAGCAAUGAGGGCGCGGUCGAAGGUGGGAUUGAUGACUGGGGUGAAGUCGUAACAAGGU